rnacentral:rRNA from 1 species
CCUACGGGCGACAGCAGUGGGGAAUAUUGCACAAUGGGCGAAACCCUGAUGCAGCAACGCCGCGUGAGUGAUGAAGGCUUUCGGGAUGUAAAGCUCUAUCCUCAAGGAAGAAAAUGACAGUACCUGACCAGGAAGCCCCGGCUAACUACGUGCCAGCAGCCGCGGUAAUACGUAGGGGGCUAGCGUUAUCCGGAUUUACUGGGGGAAAAGGGUGCGUAGGGGGUUUGUUAAGUCUGAGGUGAAAGGCCGCGGCUAAACCGUGGUCUGCCUUGGAAACUGGGGAACUUGAGUGCAGGAGGGGAUAGCGGAAUUCCUGGUGUAGCGGUGAAAUGCGUAGAUAUUAGGAGGAACACCAGUGGCGAAGGCGGCUUGCUGGACUGUAACUGACGCUGAGGCACGAAAGCGUGGGGAGCAAACAGGAUUAGAUACCCGAGUAGUC